rnacentral:rRNA from 2 species
UAUUACAAUGAAGAGUUUGAUCCUGGCUCAGGAUGAACGCUAGCUACAGGCUUAACACAUGCAAGUCGAGGGGCAGCAUGGUCUUAGCUUGCUAAGGCCGAUGGCGACCGGCGCACGGGUGAGUAACACGUAUCCAACCUGCCGUCUACUCUUGGACAGCCUUCUGAAAGGAAGAUUAAUACAAGAUGGCAUCAUGAGUCCGCAUGUUCACAUGAUUAAAGGUAUUCCGGUAGACGAUGGGGAUGCGUUCCAUUAGAUAGUAGGCGGGGUAACGGCCCACCUAGUCUUCGAUGGAUAGGGGUUCUGAGAGGAAGGUCCCCCACAUUGGAACUGAGACACGGUCCAAACUCCUACGGGAGGCAGCAGUGAGGAAUAUUGGUCAAUGGGCGAGAGCCUGAACCAGCCAAGUAGCGUGAAGGAUGACUGCCCUAUGGGUUGUAAACUUCUUUUAUAAAGGAAUAAAGUCGGGUAUGCAUACCCGUUUGCAUGUACUUUAUGAAUAAGGAUCGGCUAACUCCGUGCCAGCAGCCGCGGUAAUACGGAGGAUCCGAGCGUUAUCCGGAUUUAUUGGGUUUAAAGGGAGCGUAGAUGGAUGUUUAAGUCAGUUGUGAAAGUUUGCGGCUCAACCGUAAAAUUGCAGUUGAUACUGGAUAUCUUGAGUGCAGUUGAGGCAGGCGGAAUUCGUGGUGUAGCGGUGAAAUGCUUAGAUAUCACGAAGAACUCCGAUUGCGAAGGCAGCCUGCUAAGCUGCAACUGACAUUGAGGCUCGAAAGUGUGGGUAUCAAACAGGAUUAGAUACCCUGGUAGUCCACACGGUAAACGAUGAAUACUCGCUGUUUGCGAUAUACAGCAAGCGGCCAAGCGAAAGCGUUAAGUAUUCCACCUGGGGAGUACGCCGGCAACGGUGAAACUCAAAGGAAUUGACGGGGGCCCGCACAAGCGGAGGAACAUGUGGUUUAAUUCGAUGAUACGCGAGGAACCUUACCCGGGCUUAAAUUGCAGAUGAAUUACGGUGAAAGCCGUAAGCCGCAAGGCAUCUGUGAAGGUGCUGCAUGGUUGUCGUCAGCUCGUGCCGUGAGGUGUCGGCUUAAGUGCCAUAACGAGCGCAACCCUUGUUGUCAGUUACUAACAGGUUCCGCUGAGGACUCUGACAAGACUGCCAUCGUAAGAUGUGAGGAAGGUGGGGAUGACGUCAAAUCAGCACGGCCCUUACGUCCGGGGCUACACACGUGUUACAAUGGGGGGUACAGAGGGCCGCUACCACGCGAGUGGAUGCCAAUCCCCAAAACCUCUCUCAGUUCGGACUGGAGUCUGCAACCCGACUCCACGAAGCUGGAUUCGCUAGUAAUCGCGCAUCAGCCACGGCGCGGUGAAUACGUUCCCGGGCCUUGUACACACCGCCCGUCAAGCCAUGGGAGCCGGGGGUACCUGAAGUGCGUAACCGCGAGGAGCGCCCUAGGGUAAAACUGGUGACUGGGGCUAAGUCGUAACAAGGUAGCCGUACCGGAAGGUGCGGCUGGAACACCUCCUUUCU